UUGGAGGGCAAGUCUGGUGCCAGCAGCCGCGGUAAUUCCAGCUCCAAUAGCGUAUAUUAAAGUUGUUGCAGUUAAAAAGCUCGUAGUUGAACUUCGGGAUCAAGGAAUCGGUCAUGCCUUGGUAUGCACUGGUUUUAUCGGUUCUCACCUUCUAAAGAACCAUAAUGUCAUUCAUUUGAUGUUAUGGGGAAUUAGGACUGUUACCUUGAAAAAAUUAGAGUGUUUAAAGCAAGCUUACGCUUGAAUACAUUAGCAUGGAAUAAUGAAAUAGGACAUCCGAUUCUAUUUUGUUGGUUUCUAGGAUCGAUGUAAUGAUUAAUAGGGAUAGUUGGGGGCAUUAGUAUUCAAUUGUCAGAGGUGAAAUUCUUGGAUUUAUUGAAGACUAACUACUGCGAAAGCAUUUGCCAAGGAUGUUUUCAUUAAUCAAGAACGAAAGUUAGGGGAUCGAAGACGAUCAGAUACCGUCGUAGUCUUAACCAUAAACUAUGCCGACUAGGGAUCGGAUGAUGUUAAUUUUAUAAUGACUCAUUCGGCGCCUUACGGGAAAC
rnacentral:rRNA from 1 species